UACGGAGGGGGCGAGCGUUAUUCGGAAUUAUUGGGCGUAAAGGGCGCGUAGGCGGCCCGCUAAGUCAAAGGUGAAAUCCCUCGGCUCAACUGAGGAACUGCCUUUGAGACUGUCGGGCUUGAGGCCGGGAGGGGGUAGCGGAAUUCCCAGUGUAGCGGUGAAAUGCGUAGAUAUUGGGAGGAACACCAGUGGCGAAGGCGGCUACCUGGACCGGUUCUGACGCUGAUGCGCGAAAGCGUGGGUAGCAAACAGG
rnacentral:rRNA from 1 species